rnacentral:rRNA from 1 species
UACGUAGGGUGCGAGCGUUGUCCGGAAUUACUGGGCGUAAAGAGCUCGUAGGUGGUUUGUCGCGUUGUUCGUGAAAACUCACAACUCAAUUGUGGGCGUGCGGGCGAUACGGGCAGACUGGAGUACUGCAGGGGAGACUGGAAUUCCUGGUGUAGCGGUGGAAUGCGCAGAUAUCAGGAGGAACACCGGUGGCGAAGGCGGCCAUCUGGACCGCAACUGACGCUGAGGCGCGAAAGCGUGGGGAGCAAACAGG